GACCCACGUCCUGUGUUGCUGCUCAGUUUUGGCCACACCGACUUGUGCAUCUAUUUUGGUAUCUUCUGAACUGGCUGUCAGGAGACCGGCCACAUCAGUGCACUUAAACAUGGAGCCGAGGACUUGACUCACUUUGCAGGUGGCACUGCAUUGGAUACUUGGAUUCUCCCCUGAGGAUUUAUUUGAUACCAGAGUCAAGUUGGGACGGUUACACUCAUAAUGAAAGACCUAUCACCAAGGACGUCCAGACAUCCCACCACUUCCCUGAUCAACCUGAGCUGGGAGAACUGAUCUACAGAGCGACAGCAGCAGCAACAGAGGAGGCAAGACUGGUGAUGUGCAAGACAAGACACAUGUUGACAUCAUGAGCUGUGUGGAAAAGCGUCACAUGAGCCAUCGGAUGGGGAGCAUGCUCCACCAUCGCUUCCCCAAUGGCUUCACUGACUUGUUCAUGGAUGAGACUGAUCGGGAGGUGAGCACGCUAACGGAUCGAGCCUUCCGAAGUCUCUGCAUUGGAGAUGAUGCAGUCUAUAAU